rnacentral:rRNA from 1 species
UCUGGUGGCAAUAGCGAAGAGGUCACACCUGUUCCCAUGCCGAACACAGAAGUUAAGCUCUUUAGCGCCGAUGGUAGUCGGACUAACGUUCCGCUAGAGUAGGACGUUGCCAGGC